GGCAUCAGGGAAAUCCAAAUCAAAACCUCAAUGAGAUACCACCUCACACCAGUCAGAAUGGCUAAAAUUAACGAAUCAGGAAACGACAGCUGGGGGUGGGGAUGGG